AGUGCAAGUGACGAUGAAUAGACAGGGACAUCAGAAGUUCUAUAAUGAUGACUAAUGUCUAGAUGGGAAUCUCUCUGAUGCACA
rfam:Arabidopsis thaliana chromosome 1, complete sequence.